rnacentral:misc_RNA from 1 species
CUUCGUUAUCUUUUCUUUUCCUCGGUAAUGGUUUAACGAUGUAAUCUCAGCUCUCACAGCCCGCCUUGAUCCAAAAUUCUUGGCCGGCUCUUCUUUCUCUUUAUUUUUUAUUCAUUUCUCUGCUCUGUAUGAAUUGAAAAUGGUUUCCAAUUCUCAGAAGAAAAACCUUCACUCUGUAUUAUCCAGCAACCUCAAAAAGCUCUCAAUAACGCCUCCCAACCCUACCUCUGACUUCGACUUCUCUGAAGUAUUUGGCCCGCUUACCCCACACCCAAACCAAUCACAAUCUCCUUCAACAUCCGCCUCAUCUUCUUCCUCCUCUGCUUUUAUCAGGGACCCAC